ensembl:snRNA U6 U6 spliceosomal RNA
GUGCUCACUUUGGCAGCACAUGUACUAAAAUUGGAAUGAUACAGAGAUUAGCAUGGCUUCUGAACAAGGAUGACAUAUACAUUCAUGAAGCACUCCAUUUAAAC